rnacentral:rRNA from 1 species
GAGUUUGAUCGUGGCUCGGGAUGAACGCUGGCGGCGUGCUUAACACAUGCAAGUCGAACGAAGCGCCUUAUUUGAUUUUCUUCGGAACUGAAGAUUUGGUGACUGAGUGGCGGACGGGUGAGUAACGCGUGGGUAACCUGCCCUGUACAGGGGGAUAACAAUCAGAAAUGACUGCUAAUACCGCAUAAGACCACAGCACCGCAUGGUGCAGGGGUAAAAACUCCGGUGGUACAGGAUGGACCCGCGUCUGAUUAGCUGGUUGGUGAGGUAACGGCUCACCAAGGCGACGAUCAGUAGCCGGCUUGAGAGAGUGAACGGCCACAUUGGGACUGAGACACGGCCCAAACUCCUACGGGAGGCAGCAGUGGGGAAUAUUGCACAAUGGGGGAAACCCUGAUGCAGCAACGCCGCGUGAGUGAAGAAGUAUUUCGGUAUGUAAAGCUCUAUCAGCAGGGAAGAAAGUGACGGUACCUGACUAAGAAGCCCGGCUAACUACGUGCCAGCCGCCGCCGUAAC